rnacentral:rRNA from 1 species
UGCGUAGGUGGUUUCUUAAGUCAGGAGUGAAAGGCUACGGCUCAACCGUAGUAAGCUCUUGAAACUGGGAAACUUGAGUACAGGAGAGGAAAGUGGAAUUCCUAGUGUAGCGGUGAAAUGCGUAGAUAUUAGGAGGAACACCAGUAGCGAAGGCGCCUUUCUGGACUGUGUCUGACGCUGAGAUGCGAAAGCCAGGGUAGCGAAC